rnacentral:rRNA from 1 species
UUGGAGGGCAAGUCUGGUGCCAGCAGCCGCGGUAAUUCCAGCUCCAAUAGCGUAUAUUAAAGUUGUUGCAGUUAAAAAGCUCGUAGUUGAAUUUCGGGAUCAAUAUGCUGGUCGUGCCUUUGGUACGUACUGGUAUUAUUGGUUUCUCCUUUCUGAUGAAUCAUGAUGUCAUUAAUUUGGUGUCAUGGGGAAUCAGGACUGUUACUUUGAAAAAAUUAGAGUGUUAAAAGCAGGCUUACGCUUGAAUACAUUAGCAUGGAAUAAUGAAAUAGGACGUUUAAUUCUAUUUUGUUGGUUUCUAGGAUUGACGUAAUGAUUAAUAGGGAUAGUUGGGGGCAUUAGUAUUCAAUUGUCAGAGGUGAAAUUCUUGGAUUUAUUGAAGACUAACUACUGCGAAAGCAUUUGCCAAGGAUGUUUUCAUUAAUCAAGAACGAAAGUUAGGGGAUCGAAGACGAUCAGAUACCGUCGUAGUCUUAACCAUAAACUAUGCCGACUAGGGAUCGGAUGAUGUUAAUUUAUGACUCAUUCGGCGCCUUACGGGAAACCAAAGUGUUUGGGUUC